GGCCUAACACAUGCAAGUCGAGCGGAAACGACACUAACAAUCCUUCGGGUGCGUUAAUGGGCGUCGAGCGGCGGACGGGUGAGUAAUGCCUAGGAAAUUGCCUUGAUGUGGGGGAUAACCAUUGGAAACGAUGGCUAAUACCGCAUAAUGCCUACGGGCCAAAGAGGGGGACCUUCGGGCCUCUCGCGUCAAGAUAUGCCUAGGUGGGAUUAGCUAGUUGGUGAGGUAAUGGCUCACCAAGGCGACGAUCCCUAGCUGGUCUGAGAGGAUGAUCAGCCACACUGGAACUGAGACACGGUCCAGACUCCUACGGGAGGCAGCAGUGGGGAAUAUUGCACAAUGGGCGAAAGCCUGAUGCAGCCAUGCCGCGUGUAUGAAGAAGGCCUUCGGGUUGUAAAGUACUUUCAGUUGUGAGGAAGGGGGUAGCGUUAAUAGCGCUAUCUCUUGACGUUAGCAACAGAAGAAGCACCGGCUAACUCCGUGCCAGCAGCCGCGGUAAUACGGAGGGUGCGAGCGUUAAUCGGAAUUACUGGGCGUAAAGCGCAUGCAGGUGGUUCAUUAAGUCAGAUGUGAAAGCCCGGGGCUCAACCUCGGAACUGCAUUUGAAACUGGUGAACUAGAGUACUGUAGAGGGGGGUAGAAUUUCAGGUGUAGCGGUGAAAUGCGUAGAGAUCUGAAGGAAUACCAGUGGCGAAGGCGGCCCCCUGGACAGAUACUGACACUCAGAUGCGAAAGCGUGGGGAGCAAACAGGAUUA
rnacentral:rRNA from 2 species